rnacentral:rRNA from 1 species
GGAAUUUUCGGCAAUGGGGGGAACCCUGACCGAGCAACGCCGCGUGAAGGAAGAAGGAAUUCGUUCUGUAAACUUCUGUUAUAAAGGAAGAAAGACGGAUGGAGGAAAUGACAUCCGAGUGACGGUACUUUAUGAGAAAGCCACGGCUAACUACGUGCCAGCAGCCGCGGUAAUACGUAGGUGGCAAGCGUUAUCCGGAAUUAUUGGGCGUAAAGAGGGAGCAGGCGGCAGCAAAGGUCUGUGGUGAAAGACUGAAGCUUAACUUCAGUAAGCCAUAGAAACCGGGCAGCUAGAGUGCAGGAGAGGAUCGUGGAAUUCCAUGUGUAGCGGUGAAAUGCGUAGAUAUAUGGAGGAACACCAGUGGCGAAGGCGACGAUCUGGCCUGCAACUGACGCUCAGUCCCGAAAGCGUGGGGAGCAAAUAG